rnacentral:ncRNA from 1 species
UAAAGGCUUGGUCCUGACUUUGCUGUCGACUUUAACCAAACUUACACAUGCAAGUAUCCGCGCCCCCGUGAGAAUGCCCCACAGUCUCCUGACUGGAGACAAGGAGCUGGUAUCAGGCACAAUAUCUUUUGCCCACGACACCUUGCUAAGCCACGCCCCCAAGGGAAUUCAGCAGUGAUAAAUAUUAAGCUAUAAGUGAAAACUUGACUUAGUUAAUGUUAAGAAGGUCGGUAAAUCUCGUGCCAGCCACCGCGGUUAUACGAGAGACCUAGGUUGACGGCCUUCGGCGUAAAGAGUGGUUAAGACAAGUUUAAAACUAAAGCCAAAUGACUUCAAAGCUGUUAUACGCACAUGAAAGUACGAAGCCCGAUCACGAAAGUGGCUUUAAUACUCUGACCCCACGAAAGCUAUGAUACAAACUGGGAUUAGAUACCCCACUAUGCCUAGCCCUAAACAUCGAUAAUAAUUUACCUACUUUAUCCGCCCGGGUACUACGAGCAUCAGCUUGAAACCCAAAGGACUUGGCGGUGCUUUAGAUCCACCUAGAGGAGCCUGUUCUAGAACCGAUAAUCCCCGUUAAACCUCACCUUUUCUUGUCUUAUCUGCCUAUAUACCGCCGUCGUCAGCUUACUCUGUGAAGACCUUGUAGUAAGCAUAAUUGGCACAGCCCAAAACGCCAGGUCGAGGUGUAGCGAAUGGAAAGGGAAGAAAUGGGCUACAUUCAAUAAUAAUAAUGAAUACGGAUGGCACCUUGAAAGAGAUGUCUGAAGGAGGAUUUAGUAGUAAGCAAAGAAUAGAGUGCUAUGCUGAAACUGGCCCUGAAGCGCGUACACACCGCCCGUCACUCUCCCCGAGCUAAGUUAAACCCAUCACUAAUAAGCAAAAAAUGUAAAGGGGAGGCAAGUCGUAACAUGGUAAGUGUACCGGAAGGUGCGCUUGGAAAAA